rnacentral:rRNA from 1 species
UGGGGAAUAUUGCACAAUGGGCGAAAGCCUGAUGCAGCAACGCCGCGUGAGCGAAGAAGGCCUUUGGGUCGUAAAGCUCUGUCGGAAGGGAAGAAACAAAUGACGGUACCUUCUGAGGAAGCCCCGGCUAACUACGUGCCAGCAGCCGCGGUAAUACGUAGGGGGCAAGCGUUAUCCGGAAUUAUUGGGCGUAAAGAGUGCGUAGGUGGUCUUGUAAGCGUGGGGUGAAAGGCGGUGGCUUAACCAUUGUAAGCCCUGCGAACUGUGAGACUUGAGUGCAGGAGAGGAAAGCGGAAUUCCUAGUGUAGCGGUGAAAUGCGUAGAUAUUAGGAGGAACACCAGUGGCGAAGGCGGCUUUCUGGACUGUAACUGACACUGAGGCACGAAAGCGUGGGGAGCAAACA